CUACGGGCCGCAGCAGUGAGGAAUAUUGCACAAUGGGGGGAACCCUGAUGCAGCAACGCCGCGUGGAGGAUGACGCAUUUCGGUGUGUAAACUCCUUUUAUAUGUCAAGAAAAUGACGGUAGCAUAUGAAUAAGCACCGGCGUAACUCCGUGCCAGCAGCCGCGGUAAUACGGAGGGUGCAAGCGUUACUCGGAAUCACUGGGCGUAAAGGACGCGUAGGCGGGUUGGAAAGUCAGGUGUGAAAUCCUACAGCUUAACUGUAGAACUGCACUUGAAACUUCUAAUCUAGAGUAUGGGAGGGGGAGAUGGAAUUAGUGGUGUAGGGGUAAAAUCCGUAGAUAUCACUAGGAAUACCUAAAGCGAAGGCGAUCUCCUGGAACAUUACUGACGCUAAGGCGUGAAAGUGUGGGGAGCAAACAGGAUUAGAUACCCGGGUAGUC
rnacentral:rRNA from 1 species